AUUGAACGCUGGCGGCAUGCCUUACACAUGCAAGUCGAACGGCAGCACGGACUUCGGUCUGGUGGCGAGUGGCGAACGGGUGAGUAAUGUAUCGGAACGUACCUUUCAGUGGGGGAUAACGUAGCGAAAGUUACGCUAAUACCGCAUAUUCUGUGAGCAGGAAAGCAGGGGAUCGAAAGACCUUGUGCUGAUUGAGCGGCCGAUAUCAGAUUAGCUAGUUGGUGGGGUAAAGGCCUACCAAGGCGACGAUCUGUAGCGGGUCUGAGAGGAUGAUCCGCCACACUGGAACUGAGACACGGUCCAGACUCCUACGGGAGGCAGCAGUGGGGAAUUUUGGACAAUGGGGGCAACCCUGAUCCAGCCAUGCCGCGUGAGUGAAGAAGGCCUUCGGGUUGUAAAGCUCUUUCGGCCGGGAAGAAAUCGCAUAGGCUAAUACCCUGUGUGGAUGACGGUACCGGAAUAAGAAGCACCGGCUAACUACGUG
rnacentral:rRNA from 1 species